rnacentral:rRNA from 1 species
AUUGAACGCUGGCGGCAGGCCUAACACAUGCAAGUCGAGCGAGCGGCGGACGGGUGAGUAAUGUAUGGGGACUGCCCGAUAGAGGGGGAUAACUACUGGAAACGGUGGCUUAUACCGCAUACUAUCGGAUAACCUAUAUGGGAUUAGCUAGUAGGAGGGGUAAAGGCUCACCUAGGCGACGACCUCUAGCUGGUCUGAGAGGAUGAUAAGCAACACUGGGACUGAGAAACGGCCCAGACUCCUACGGAGCCAGCAGUGGGGAAUAUUGCACAAUGGGCGCAAGCCGGAUGCAGCAAUGCCGCGUGGAUGAAGAAGGCCUUAGGGUUGUAAAGUACUUUCAGCGGGGAGGCGUUACCCGCAGAAGAAGCACCGGCUAACUCCGUGCCAGCCGCCGCGGUAAUAC